CCUACGGGAGGCAGCAGUGAGGAAUAUUGGGCAAUGGACGAGAGUCUGAACCAGCCAAGUAGCGUGAAGGAUGACUGCCCUAUGGGUUGUAAACUGCUUGUAUAAAGGAAUAAAACGAGGCACGUGUGCCUUUUUGCAUGUACUUUAUGAAUAAGGAUAGGCUAACUCCGUGCCAGCAGCCGCGGUAAUACGGAGGAUCCGAGCGUUAUCCGGAUUUAUUGGGGUUAAAGGGAGCGUAGAUGGGUUGUUAAGUCAGUUGUGAAAGUUUGCGGCUCAACCGUAAAAUUGCAAUUGAUACUGGCAGUCUUGAGUACAGUUGUGGUAGGCGGAAUUCGUGUUGUAUCUGUGA
rnacentral:rRNA from 1 species